rnacentral:lncRNA from 1 species
AUGCCCUAGGGCUAGUGGAAGACUUAAGAUGGCGGCGUUUGCACGGAGUGCAAUCACUGCGUCCUUACGGGGGUUGCAAGGCGUCCGAAGUAUGAGUCCACUAACAAAAGUCCAGAAACUCGCCAGUUAAUAGUAUUGUGUCUCUUCAAAAUAUCGGAGAAUAAUUUCUUUCUCGCUGAUCGCCUAACUUCUACUGACGAAGCUUGGAAGUUGCAGAAGUUUCUUCAAAGGAAAGAAGCAACUGGAACACACAUAUAACACUAACCCUUCCAGCUGCAUUAUGAGGGACCAGUACCUGUCUCAAGGCAAAAUUAUGACUUAGUUCAUCCUCACCUCUGGAGGCCAGUAAAAGUGGGUUAUAGAAGAACAAAGAGGCAUCUAGAUCUUUCACUGGGUUAUUUGGAGAGAAACAUCUCCUACCGAAGGCCAGUUUAACAAGACUGGUAGAGGAGGUUAUCUUAUCUAAUUCACAGAAAUCAACACAUUGAGUCAAGAAAAAUGAAACACAGAAACACUCUAAAUAAAAGAAGAUAAGUCUUCAGAAACCAACCCUAAUGAAAUGAAGAUAUGUGAUUAACCUGACAGGAAAUUAAAAAGAGCAACCAUAAAGAGUCUCAUGGGAGCAAUGCAUGAACAAACUGAGAAUUUUCAUAAAGAAAUAAAAGAUAACAAAAAGUAUAAAGUUGAAGAAUACAAUAACUGGACUCAAAAAUUUAAUGUGUCCAACAGAAGAAUCGAUGAAGCAGAAGAAAGGGCUAUCAAACUUGUAGAUAGGCCAUUGGAAAUCAUGUAAUGUGAGGAGAAAAAAGAAAAAAGAUUGAAGAUAGUUUAAGAGACUUUUGAGACAUCCUCAAAGGGGAAUAAUUUAUACAUUACCAGAUGGAGAAGAUAGAGGGAAAAGGACAGAAAACAUAUUUGAAGAAAUAAUGUCAGAAAACCUCAUAAUUCUGGCAAGGAAAUAGAAAUUUAGAUCUAAGAAUCUCGAACAUCAGGUAUGAUGAAUCCAAGGAGACUCACACCAAACCAUAUUGUAAUUAAAUAAAGGUUAAAGACAAUCUUCAGAGCAGCAAGGGAAUAGUCUCUUCUUACAUACAAAAUGAUCCACGGAAGACUGUCAGCAGACUUCACCAGAAAACUUUCACGCCAGAAGGCAGUCGUGAUAUAUACAAAAAGCUGAAAGGAAAACACUGCCAUCCAGGAAUACUAUCUCCAACUAUCCUGUGUUUCAAAAAUUAAGGAGAAAUAUAAAGUUCUCAAACAAAAGAUGUGGGAGUUUACCACCACUAGACCUGCACGGGAAGAAUUGCUAAAGGGAGUCCUUCAAGCUGUAGUAAAAGAGUGCUAAUUAGAAACAUGAAAACAAAUACAAAAAAAAUUCUAAAACUUGUAUGGAACUACAAAAGACAUUAAAUAAUCAAAGUAAUCUUGAGCAACAAGGACACAGCUGGAGGCAUCACUCUACCUGAUUUUGUAAUCCAUUAUCAAAAAACUGUGGUACCAGCAUAAAAACAGAUUCACUGACCAGUGGAACAGGAAAGCCCAGACAUAACUCAUACAUUUCCAUCCAAUUGAUUUUUGACAAAAGUGGCACACAGAAUGGGGAGAGGACAAAUAAAUAAAUAAAUUGUUUUGAGAUAUCUGUAUAUCUAUAUGUGAAAUUGAACCAUUUUCUCAUAGCAUAUAGAAAAAUCAACUCAAAAUGGAUUAAAGCCUGAAAUGUUGCCUUUGAAACUGUAAAACUACUAGUAGAAAAUAUAGGGGAAAAGCUCUAUGAUGUUGUUCUGGGCAAUGAUUUCUUGGAUACAUCCUUAAAAGCAUGGGCAGCAAAAACAGCCAGACAACUAUCAGGGAACCUGCCCAGAUAGUCACAUAGGUUCUUUUCUAUUUUCCCUAAGCAUUGGCCGGGUUGAGAAAUAAAGGGACAGAGUACAAAAGAGAGAAAUUUUAAAGCUGGGCAUCCUGGGGAGACAUCACAUGUCGGUAGGUUCCGUGAUGCCCCCUGAGCCGUAAAACCAGUAAGUUUUUAUUAGGGAUUUUCAAAGGGGAGGGAGUAUACGAAUAGGAGGUGGGUCACAGAGAUCACGUGCUUCACAAGGUAAUAGAAUAUCACAAGGCAAAUGGAGGCAGGGCGAGAUCACAGGACCACAGGACUGGGUUGAAAUUAAAAUUGCUAAUGAAGUUUCGGGCACCAUCGUCAUUGAUAACAUCUUAUCAGGAGACAGGGUUUGAGAGCAACCUGUCUGACCAAAAUUUAUUAGGUGGGAAUUUCCUCGUCCUAAUAAGCCUGGGAGCGCUAUGGGAGACUGGGGCUUAUUUCAUCCCUACAGUCUCGACCAUAGAAGACAGCUACACCCAAGGGGGCCAUUUUAGAGGCCCACCCUCAGGGGCACAUUCUCUUUCUCAGGGAUGUUCCUUGCUGAGAAAAAGAAUUCGGCGAUAUUUCUCCCAUUUGCUUUUGAAAGAAGAGAAAUAUGGCUCUGUUCCGCCUGGCUCACCGGCGGUCAGAGUUUAAGGUUAUCUCUCUUAUUCCCUGAACAUUGCUGUUAUCCUGUUCUUUUUUCAAGGUGCCUAGAUUUCAUAUUGUUUAAACACACAUGCUCUACAAUUUCUGCACUUAACACAAUUAUCACAGGGUCCUGAGGCGACAUACGUCCUCCUCGGCUUACGAGAUGACAGGAUUAAGAGAUUAAAACAGGCAUAGGAAAUCACAAGGGUAUUGAUUGGGGAAGUGAUAAGUGUCCAUGAAAUCUUCACAAUUUAUGUUUAGAGAUUGCAGUAAAGACAGGCAUAAGAAAUUAUAAAAGUAUUAAUUUGGGGAACUAAUAAAUGUCCAUGAAAUCUUCACGAUCCACGUUCUUCCGCCAUGGCUUCAGCCAGUCCCUCCGUUUGGGGUCCCUGACUUCCCGCAACAGACAACUUGAGUUGCAUCAAACUAAAAAGCAUCUGCACUGCAAAGGGUACAGUUAACAGAAUGAAGACACGGGUUUUGAGAAACCAUUUUCAAAUCAUAUAUCUGAUAAGGGGCUAAUAUCCAAAAUGUAUUAAGAAACCCAAGCCCAAUAGCAAGAAAACAACUGUCUUUAAAAGGGGGAAAAGGACCUCAACUUAAAUUUUUCAGAGGAAGACAUGAGUGGCCAAUUGAUUGAUACAUGAAAAAAAUGCUCAACAUCUCUAAUCAUUAGUGAGUUGCAAAUCAAAACUGCAAGAUAUUACCUUACACCUUUUAGAAUGGCUAUUAUUAAAAGGAUGAAAGACAGGUGCUGGCAAGGAUGUGGAUAAAAGGAAGUCCCAACAUUCUGUUAGUGGGAAUAUAAAUUAGUAUAGCCAAUUUAGGAAACUAUAUGGUGGUUCCUUAAGAAACUAAAAGUACAAUUACUAUAUGAUCUAGCAAUCUCUACUUAGGUAUAUAUCCAAAGGAAUUGAAGCAGUAUGUUGAGAUCUUGCACUCCCUUAUUUUGAAAUUAUUUACAAAGCUAAUAAAUGGAAAAGACUUAAGUUUUCAUAACAGAUGAAUGGACAUAGAAGAUGUGUUGUAUAUACAUAUUGGAAUAUUUUUUAUCCUUGGAAAAGAAGGAAAAUUGUCAUUUGUGACAACAUGGAUGAAUCUGUAGUAUACUAUGCUAAGUGUUGUAAGACAGGCACAGAGAGGCAAAUACUACAUUAUAUUUGUAUGUGGAAUCUAAGAAAGGCUAACUCAUACAAGUAGAAAGUUGGAUGUUAUGGUUUCCAGGAUGUGGGUGUUGGAGAGAUGGGCAAAGGCAAGACGUUGGUCAAAGAGUACCAAUUUUCUGUUAGGAGGAAUAAGUUUUAGACAUAUUUCACAGCAUGGUGACCAUUGUCACUGACUGUAUAUUUUAAAAUUGUUAUAAGUAGAUAUUAAAGUUGUCACAACAAAAGUAGGUGAAGUUAUGGAUAUGUUAAUGUGCUUGAUUUAGUUAUUACACUAUGUAUACAUACAAAAACAUCAGAUAGUUCCCUGGAAUUAUAUACAAUUAUUACUUGUCAAUUAUAAAAAAAAGCCCUACUGCAACCACUAAAAAGGAUUUUCAUAUAAUAGAGGGAAAAAUCGUUAAAGAUAAUAAUACAUUAUUUUAGAAAAUAUUAACUUAUAAAAAGUAGUAUAGGAGGGAUUCUGUAAAAGAAGAUAGACAUAGAAUUUUAAAAUGUAUAAUGGAAAAUUUAAAUCCAGCUGUACUGAUGGAUCAAGCAAUCCAAACCAGUCUGAUUGACCAAGUGGAUAUUUAAAAAACAAUCAAACUAUAAGGUGUCUGUUGUAGGCAGUUUAUAAAAUACAAAAGUGUUGAAAGAAAUAGGAUGGAAAUAGAAAUAUCCAAGUAGCAACCACAAAAAAACUGGAAUGUCUGCACUAACAUCAUACAAAACAAACCAAAUGAAGGUUAAAAAUAUUGAAAUUAUACAAAAUAUGUUCUAUGACUAAAAUUUAAUGAAAUUAGAAAUAACACAGAGAUAGGAACUAUACAUAUUUGUGCAAAUUUAAAAAGUUAUGCUGAGUGUGGUGGCUCACACCUGUAAUCCCAGCACUUUGGGAGGCCGGGGAGGGUGGAUCACUUGAAGUCAGGAGUUGGAGACCAGCCUGGCCAACAUGGUGAAACCCUGUCUCUACUAAAAAUACAGAAAAUUAGCCAGAUGUGGUGGUGUGCGCCUGUAGUCCCAGCUACUCGGGUGGCUGAGGCACUAGAAUCACUUGAGCCUAGGAGGCAGAGGUGGCAGUGAGCCGAGAUCACACCACUGCACUGCAGCCUGGGCGACAAAGACUGUCAAAAAAAAAAAAAAAAAAAAAAAGUUACGUAACCAACAAGUCAAAGGAGAAUUUAUAAGGAAAUCAGAAAAUACUUUGAGGUGAAUGAAAAUACAGAAACAACAUAUCAAAUUCUGUGAGAUGUGUGAAAGCAACGCUUACAGUGAAAUUAAUAGCUAUGAACAUUGUAAUGAAAUGAGAAGUACUUCAAAUUACUAACCUAACUUUCCAACUUUAGAAAAUACAGUAAAAAAAGAACAAAUUAAAAUCAAAGCAGAAAGGAUAUAAAGUUUAGUGUGGAAAUAGAGAAUUAAAAAUAAUUGAGAAACACAGCACUUCGUUGACUUAUUCAUAAAAUAAAGCUUUAUUAAAAUGAGAAAUGUAAAACGUGAUGUUCCUAAUGACCUUAUUCCAUACAAGGGAUUAGUAUUUUGACAAAUAUCUUUGUGGAAGUAGACAAAUUCCUAGAAAGACACUGACUACCACAACUCAUUCAAGAACAAAGUGAAGACAAUAAAUUGGUAAUUUAAAAACUCUCACCCCUGCCCCUGACACACAUGUAAAUUCCCAGUUCAAAUGUAUUCUUUUGUAUAUUAUACCAAACACAUGAAAAUUACCAAUUCGAUAAAAAUGUCUUAAAAACUUGGAAGAGCAUGUAAUAUUUUUUACUGGUUCUAUGAUGCUAUUGUUAUCUAGAUACCAAAGUGAAACAUCAUACACAGGGAAAACUCUGAUAAUAUCGCUUAUGAGUGGAUCUGUGAAAUUUCCUAGUAAAUUUUGGCAAACCAAAUACAGUAACAUAUAAACAGGAAUGUACACCAGUACCCAGUACAGUGUAUCCCUGGAAUGCAACGUUAUUUCAUCAGCUGGAAAUGAUUAGUGCAACAGACUGAAGGAAGAAAACAACAUGGUCAUCUCAAUAGAUUGUGGACGGCUGGAAGUGGAGGCUCACGCCUGUAAUCCUAAUACUCCUACCAACAGUGUAUAAGCAUUCCUUUUUCUCUGUAACUUCACCAGAAUCUGUUUUUUUGUUUGUUUGUUUGUUUGUUUUUGACUUUGUAAUAGCCAUGGGCUGGGCUCAGUGACUCACGCCUGUAAUCCUAGCACUGGGGGAGGCUGAGGUGGGCGGAUCACUUGAGGUCAGGAGUUCGAGACCAGCCUGGCCAACAUGGUGAAACCCCAUCUCUACUAAAAAUACUAAAAUUACCUGUGCAUGGUGGCAAGUGCCUGUAAUCCCAGCUACUCGGGAGUCUGAGGCAGUAGAAUCACUUGAACCCAGGAGGUGGAGGUUGCAGUGAGCGGAGAUUGUGCCACUGCACUUGGACCUGGCUGACACAGCAAGACUAUGUUUAAAAAAAAAGAGAGAGAAAAAAAAAAUAGAAGGUGGAAAAAGUAUUUGGUAAACUAAGAAGUAAACCACAACCUAGUAAAGGGCAUAUUUUAAGAAUUCACAACUAGAACCUGGUGCCGUGGCUGUAAUCCCAGCACUUGGGGAAGCCAAAGCAGGAUUACUUGAGGCCAGAAGUCUGAGAUCAGCCUAGGCAAUAUAAGGAUACUCUGUAUCUUAAAAAAAAAAAAAAAAUCCAGAUGUGAUGACACAUGCCUGUACGCCUAGCUACUUGGGAAGCUGAGGUUCAUGUUUACAAUGAGCUAUGAUGAUGCCACUGUACUCCUGACUGAACAACAGAGUGAGACCCUGUCUCUAAAAAGCAAAACAAAACAGAAAACCCAAAACCCUCAAAACUAAUGUUACACUUAGUAUUUAAAGAAUGCUUUCUCUGUAAGAAGAGGAGCAAGGACAGGAUAAAACAUUCUUGCCAGUUCUGUUCAACAGUGUACUGGAAGUAUCUGUGACAUUAAUUGCAUUGCAUAUGGAAGGAAAUAAAAUUUUUUAAAUAGGAAGCAGCAAAACCUUUUGCAGAUGACAUGGUUUUGUACAUACACAACCCCAGUGGAUCCAAUAAAUUUGGAUUCCAAUAACAAGAUCAUCUCAGCAAGUUUUUGUGAUUUAAGAUUACAAUCCAAAAAUCAGUUGUAUUUCUAUAUAUUAUUAAAGAAGUCAAAAGUGACAUCAUUGAAACAUUUUUAUUUACAAUAUUAUUAAGGCAAAAUACUGUGGGAUAAAGUGAAAUUCAGCAUGAACUGUGAAUAACACAAAAUAUUUGUCAGAGGAGUUGAGGAAUAUCUACAUAUGUGGAAAGACAUCUCAUAUUUGUGGACUAGAAGAUUUAAGCAUCGCUAGGUGCGGUGGCUCACGCCUGUAAUCCCAGCACUUUGGUAGGCUGAGGU